rnacentral:rRNA from 1 species
UUGUCUGACCUCCUCGCCCAGUGCUUAGAAAGUAAAAUGAAUUAUUUUUAAAGGUAUUUGUAUAAGCUCAAGUAAACGGCGGCUGUAACCUUGACGGUCUUAAGGUAGCGAAAUCCCUAGUCAAUUAAUUGUUGACGUGCAUGAAUGGAGUAACGACUGUUUUACUGUCUCGGGCUUUUGUACUGUGAAUUCAUAAUUGUCGUGAAGAUACGACAUUCCUAUAGUGGGACGGAAAGACCCUAUGCAGCUUUACUAUAAUUUUAGAGUGUUUGAAAUUCUUUAAGUAUGUAGGAUAGGUAUAAGCUUAUAAUUUCUUAACGCAAGUUAAUUGAUUAGGCAAUCUUGAAAUAGUACCUCUUUAAAAAUUUUAAACUAAUUUUAUAAAGACAUUUUAUGAUUGGUAGUUUCACUGGGGC